rnacentral:lncRNA from 1 species
AUAAUACCGAUAUUAAUAAUAAAAAUAAUAAGUAUAAUAAUAAUAAUAAUAAUUAAAAUAAUAAUAAUAAUAUUAAUAAUAAUAGGGAAUUAUUAUUAUUAUUAUUAUUUUUACUAUAAUUGUAAUAACUAUAAUAAUAAUAAUAAAAAAUAAUAAUAAUAAUAACAAUAAUAAUAAUAUUUAUGUAAUGAUGAGUGGUGUUUGCAGUUAAACACAGUGGAGAUCAGUGCUGUGAGCAGCAGCUCGGAGUUUACUCAGCAUCCGGUGUUCAUGUGGAUCCCAAAUCUGCAGCAUCAGCCUCAGCGGAUACACACGCAGCAGUCUCCAUUUCCAAAGAUUGCUAUAAAAGAGUUAAUCUGCCUUCCAUCAUGUCAGCUGUCCAAGCCAUCCAAAGCGGUGAGGAAAUAUAAGCAAGGUGUCUUCUAUGGUGUUUAUUUAUUUAAAUACAAAAAUAGUACAAAAAUAAUGUA